UACCUGGUUGAUCCUGCCAGUAGUCAUAUGCUUGUCUCAAAGAUUAAGCCAUGCAUGUGUAAGUAUGAACUASUUCSWACUGUGAAACU
rnacentral:rRNA from 1 species